GUUUUAUUUAGUGUUAGAACAGCUCAGAGGAGUGGAUAGCUCUUAGCAGAGAGGAGGCCCUGAAGAGGGUGGCUCUUUUCUGCAGCCAAGUCAUUCGGAUGUCUCUGCAGGUCUCUGAAGCUCUCAAUAGAGAGGGUCACUCCUCUCUGCCAGUCAGUCAUCUAUGCAGCUCUCAGCUGAUAGGGUACUGCUCUCUGCAGCUGGUGAUCCUGUCCCAUCAUCUCUCUCUGCCCUCUUCAUCCUCUGGCUGAGCCCAGGGUUCUUAUGGACCUCAGAGGGAAGAAAGUGUGUGCAGAUUGGCCCAGGGGCAGGCAUGGGCAGACCUGAAGGUCUUCUGGAAGUUUUC
rnacentral:lncRNA from 1 species